UUCACCAGAAAACAACACACACGUCAAUGGCUAUUGUUUUAAAAUUCCUAGAAAAGGCUUUGAGGUAAAUGCACAUUUUAUCAAAGUACACAUGUCGAAGGCUUUUGAAAGAAGUUGUACCCCAGGUCUAUCCUGCUCAUCAGGUAAGAAAAAAAUCACAGUCUGAGGUGCUAAAAUCACAAUACGCUAAUAUUUGGAAGUUUUCAGUAUAAAGAUGAAAUCUAUGGACACCGGAAACUUCAACUUUAGUCCAACGGAGCAGUGAUCAUACAUGGUUGCUGUCGUUUGUGGCAAAGAGAACCUUGACUGUGUCUCAUCUUGUGAAAAUUCGGAACGAGUAGUUUUUGUCCUGUUCCCGCCAAGCGCUUGCUUAAGAAAGAAAGGAGAAAAAAAGACAAGCAAAGCAAAGCUUGCAGCUGUUAUCAGGUUUUUGUUUGUCAACACGCAUUCACUGAGAACCUUAUUCAGGCUGGCUGAUUGUUGACACUGGGCCUACAAAGAGGGAUUUUAAAAACUCAAGAACUGACUACCAAGUAUGUUAAAUAUGUUAAAUAAAGCUGAAGUCGUUUUAUUUUA